GUGGCCUAGUGGUUAGAGCGUUCGCCUCAGAUGCGGGAGGUCGUGGAUUCGAUUCCCGGUUGAGUCA